CCAGUGCCGCCGCCGCCGCUUCCACAGGAAGUUAAAGGUUGGGCCUCGCCGCCCAAAAGGGCAUCCGCCACGGAAGAAGCAGCGAGUGACCUGAUGGAGGUGGCAGCUCGGGCGAUGGCUUCUCCAACGAGAGUGGGGUCAGUAUGACCGGCGUCUGCGUCCUCCAACUCCAUUGUUUCCGUAUCCACCAUCUCAUUCUUUCAUGAGGUAAGAAAACAUGCUCGAUCAGUCUCUUUGGCUAGUUGCAGGGGCAAGAGCUGCAGCCACGUGUCCGAGGCCUCCGAGACUGGUACAUAUCUCUUUGGCUACGUGGAAGUAAACUCGAAGAGAGCACCGCACGCGAGGUAACAAAAUACUAUCCAUGUCAGUUUUACUACCGCAAAUAUUUAUAAUACGAAGAAUCGCAUCAUAUCCGAUAGCAAAGCAGA